rnacentral:lncRNA from 1 species
UUGGCUCUAUGACAUGAAUUCUGAGACUGAUGGUGAGCCCGAACCAAAUCUGCAAUCAGAUGUGCCAAAUGAUAUAGAUGUUGAAAGAGGGGAAAGACUUGGGGACCAAGAAAAAGAGAUCGGCAAAGAUCUAACUUCGAGUACCAACAAGAUGAGCCAAUUUCAUUAGUAUCCCAUGUGCCUCCUCCACCAAAGUUCAAGAAUCCGGGAAGUUUUGCAAAACCAUGCCCAAUUGGAAGUUAUGUCGUCGGCAAAGCUCUUGGUAACGUAAGAGCAAGUACAGUUGUGGAGUCAUGGUGGGAUGAAAAGGAGAAGAUAGAUGAAGAUUCCAUUAUGUUUAUUAAGCUUCAAUGCCCUAAUAUGAUCAUCGACAUAAUGGAGGAAACACCUAGUGGUUUGCUGUUCUUAAUGGGGAUCCUAUCUACAAAGAGCAUGCUAGGUGACUUCAAUUCAAGGGUUUUUGCUAAUGGGAACCUCCCAAAAGAGACAUUGCUUCUGAUGGAUGGAGGGUUCCUCAAUUUUCGUAGGGGAAUUGGAUAGAGAAUUGAAGAAGUCAGGCUGAGACUAUAAAACAAGCGCUU